rnacentral:lncRNA from 1 species
GCACACAGAGGGCGACUGCAGCUUGGGCGCCCAGGCGGCGGAGCAUGGUCUGGGUGGCCUCUGGAAUGCGUGCGCGCCAGACCUGAGGGCCCUCCUGCUGGUGCCACCUGACCCGGUCUUCCUCUGCUGGAGCCUGGAGCAGCUGGAAUGGCCACUCUGCAGUCACAGGGGAUAGAGUUAAGUUUUCUUAUCCCAGGCAUGCACACAAAAAGGUGAAAUGCUCAUUGCAGUGCUGCAAAAAGGUGAGGUCACAGGACACAAACCCAUAUCUGAGACCUGGAUGCCUUCCUCCACGCACUCACCCACUGGCUGUCCUGAGCAUCACCCUGCACCUAUUGUCACAGCAACAAGGGAAAAAUCAGCAUAGUGGUCAAGUCCAUUGUCAGCUUCUGACACUGCCUCUUACAAGGAGGUGACUUUGGAAAUGUCAUUCAGCCUUCCUGUGCCUGAGAUCGCCUCACCUGUCAAAUGGGAACAAUAAAGCACUUCAAAGAA